AUUGAACGCUGGCGGCAGGCCUAACACAUGCAAGUCGAGCGAGCGGCGGACGGGUGAGUCAUUUCUGGGAAACUGCCUGAUGGAGGGGGAUAACUACUGGAAACGGUAGCUAAUACCGCAUACCAUCAGACUUGCCCAGUUGGGAUUAGCUGGUAGGUGGGGUAACGGCCCACCUAGGCGACGAUCCCUAGCUGGUCUGAGAGGAUGACCAGCAACACUGGAACUGAGACACGGUCCAGAAUCCUACGGGAGGCAGCAGUGGGGAAUAUUGCACAAUGGGCGCAAGCCUGAUGCAGCCAUGCCGCGUGUGUGAAGAAGGCCUUCGGGUUGUAAAGCACUUUCAGCGGGGAGGCGUUACCCGCAGAAGAAGCACCGGCUAACUCCGUGCCAGCAGCCGCGGUAAUUC
rnacentral:rRNA from 1 species